UGUACGGAGCCCGGACGAUGUGAUGAGUCUGCCGGUCUCGUCUCCAGCAGCGAACGCGGCGAGGCCUGCGCUCCGGGACAGGUGUUCUGCGUGAUGCUGGGCGCCUGCGUGGCCCCUGAUGCCUGCGGUGGGGCGGCGGCGAAUGCUCGCUCACAGUCCAGCUCAUCUGGGGCCAGCUGUGGGCCAGGACAGGUGUUCUGCCUGAGUCGCGGCGAGUGUACGGAGCCCGGACGAUGUGAUGAGUCUGCCGGUCUCGUCUCCAGCAGCGAACGCGGCGAGGCCUGCGCUC